UGUGGGCUGAGUACACCCUCCUCUUGUACUUAACCCUUGGUUGCUGUUGGCUGAUCAAUGGGAGGGAUUUACCCAGGCUAGUCAGCUGCCAGGACUGGCCGUGACCACUGACCAUUAACCUCAACCCUUCAUGGAGGAUCAGCUGUGCAGGGGUAGGGUGAUGGUGCUCCAAAGUGGUCUGUAGCUGUCCACUGGGUGUGCAGGCUCUGG